rnacentral:rRNA from 1 species
GACGAACGCUGGCGGCGUGCUUAACACAUGCAAGUCGAACGGAAAGGCCCGGCUUUUGUGGGGUGCUCGAUUGGCGAACGGGUGAGUAACACGUGAGUAACCUGCCCUUGACUUUGGGAUAACUCCAGGAAACUGGGGCUAAUACCGGAUAGGAGCUCCUGCUGCAUGGUGGGCGUUGGAAAGUUUCGGCGGUUGGGGAUGGACUCGCGGCUUAUGAGCUUGUUGGUGGAGUAGUGGCUUACCAAGGCUUUGACGGGUAGCCGGCAUGAGAGGGUGACCGGCCACAUUGGGACUGAGGUACGGCCCAGACUGCUACGGGCGGCAGCAGUGGGGAAUAUUGCACAGUGGGGGGAAGCCUGAUGCAGCAACGCCGCGUGCGGGAUAACGGCCUUCGGGUUAUAAACCGCUUUCGCCUGUGACGAAGCGUGAGUGACGGUAAUGGGUAAAGAAGCACCGGCUAACUACGUG